CGUGUAGGCGGUAUUGUAAGUCAGAUGUAAAAGGCUACGGCUUAACCGUAGAUUGUCAUUUGAAACUACAGUACUUGAGUGCGAGAGAGGGUAGUGGAAUUCCCAGUGUAGCGGUGAAAUGCGUAGAUAUUGGGAAGAACACCAGUAGCGAAGGCGGCUACCUGGCUCGUAACUGACGCUAAUGCGCGAAAGCGUGGGGAGCGAACAGGAUUAGAUACCCUGGUAGUCC
rnacentral:rRNA from 1 species